rnacentral:lncRNA from 1 species
AUGGCUUUAUUCCACUUUGUUAAUUGUUCCUUAACCGCCUUUGCACCUUACUAUAUAAUAUAUGAAGGAUUCAAAUUAGCCAGAAAUGAAGGAUUUAUUAAGUUGUUUUUGAUUGUAUGUUUUUAUUAUAUAACAUCUCAAAUUGCGAAGCUAUUCGCAUUGGCAUUUUUUUCAAUAGGACUUUUACAACAUAUGAACAUAUUUAAUAUAAUUUUUCAAGAAAGUGCGAAUGUCAUUGAUUUAGCUGGGAUAUACUAUAUCUUUUUAAAUAAGAAUGCUAGUACACUUAACUUAAAGGAAAGAAUAUUGUCUAUUGGUCUUAGUUGGGGAUUUAUUGAUUCUGUGGCUACAAAUUUUUUCCCAUUUUUUAUUGGUGCCAAAUCAUUAGAUUUUUCUUUGAAGUAUAUUUAUAGGUCUAUUUCAGCAAAUAUACUUUUGGUUUCAAAUUUAUGUAAAGUGGCUUUAUUAUUUGUGUGGGUAAAAAAUGCACAGAAUAAAAAAAAAAUAAAUUUUACAAAUUUACUUUUAAUGUAUUUCACAUUCAUUUUACCUCUUUUGAAUAAAUUAAUACUCCUUCAUGAAGAAUUAAACAGCAUAUGGGUGUUCAAUUACCUAAUCCUUCUUUUUCUACUUACCAUUAUUCUAUCACUCGUAACUAAAUUCGUAUUUAAUUCUCAAUUGAAAAGUUCUUUUAAUUCUAAUAUGACAAAACAAGAUCAAAGUUACACAAACGAUAAGAAUGAAAAUGAUUAUGAAAAUGAUAUGACCAACAAGUCAAAAAAUAAAAAUAAAAAAAAAAGUUUUUAAAUAUGUGCAAUUUUUUUUUUUUUUUUUUUUUUUUAUUAAAAAUAAUAACUAAUUUAAGUAGCACAAACAUUGUAACACGGUUCGAGUAUGUAUUAUAUAGAUAUGUACGUAUUUUACCAAUAACGGGAAUAGACAAAAAAAAAAAAAUAAAUAAAAAACUAU